rnacentral:rRNA from 1 species
GACGAACGCUGGCGGCGUGCUUAACACAUGCAAGUCGAACGGAAAGGCCUGCUUUCCCUUGUGGAUUGCGGGUACUCGAGUGGCGAACGGGUGAGUAACACGUGAGUGAUCUGCCCCCAACUUGGGUAUAAGCCUGGGAAACUGGGUCUAAUUCCCGAUAGGACUGCAGGGUGGUGCCUGUGGUGGAAAACGAUUUUCUAGUGGUUGGGGAUGAGCUCGCGGCCUAUCAGCUUGUUGGUGGGGUAAUGGCCUACCAAGGCGGCGACGGGUAGCCGGCCUGAGAGGGUGGAGGGCGACAUUGGGACUGAGAUACGGCCCAGACUCCUACGGGAGGCAGCAGUGGGGAAUAUUGCACAAUGGGCGGAAGCCUGAUGCAGCGACGCCGCGUGGGGGAUGACGGCCUUCGGGUUGUAAACUCCUUUCGACCGCGAGGAAGCCACCUGGUUGGAAGGGUGGUGACGGUAGUGGUAGAAGAAGCACCGGCUAACUACGUG